ACCCUUGGGCUCUGGACUGGGUCGGCAAGAUGGGCACGACACCCAGCAGGGGAGACCGGGGAUCCCAGCCUCAGACUGUGUCCACAGUUCCCCAGGUGAGCCGACAUGCGUCUGUAGAGCACCGCCCGGGACGGGGUGAUGCCCCAGGCAGAGAGAGCGCUCAAGUGGACUGGGACCAGAUCCUGGGGCACAGCUGAUGACCACUGUCAAUUCAGGAGUUACUGCCCUACCCAGCUAGCAGCGGGAGGUAUUCUCCCGGCCUCUGAACUGUGACCCUUGGUCUCUUCUUUUCCAUCUCCUCAAACCAUGCGAUGUUUAAGUGGUACCCAAGGGCUUCACUGGCUUAGAGAAGCUCCAAACAAACCCCGGUCCCUGGAUGCGGCCAGCAAGCCCAGACCCGUCUCACAAGGCGGCUUGGAUCCAAUUUUUCAUGGGAGCUCCUGCCAAGAGCCUGGUGUAGUUUCGAGGAUGGGAGACUUCAGUCCAGAAACAACUGCUCGCCACCUCAGCGCUCCCUGGGUCGAUCCGGAGCCACAAAAUGAGCAUCUGCCGGUGUUCUCUCCUGAACCUCGCAUUUUCUUACCCUUGACGGUACCUCCGUUGUCACAGCUACGCCCCCAGACAUGCAGGCCUUUCUAACUUCAAGUCAAUUGACUUCCAGAAGCCAAGAAAGACUAUUAAAUGAAACUUGGCUUAAAUAGCUGGGCCUACCUGCUUUGUGAGGCAGGCUCAGGCCAAGACUGGGGAAUAAAGGGGGCAGUGAUGGGAUUUAUGAUUAAGUUCCGUCUCUGCCUUCAUCGAGAGUCUUCUGUCCAACAUUUCCAACAGACGAACAUCCACCAGAUCAUGUCCAAUGUUGGAAACAGCUGGUUUUGCUCGAUAGUAUAGAUAACUAGGAUUGUUUAUUGACCAUCUACACCAGGAACGAAGAAACCUACUUACAUCAUCUCUAAGCCUUAAAAUGAAUUGCCAUUUUAGAAAACUGGGAAAAUGAUAUUCAGAAUUUCCUUUUUGCCAAAGCCAAUACUGACAUCACAAUUAAACUCCAGGCCUGCCUACUCCACAGCUUACGUUAAUACAUUUAUGAACCCAAACCAACGCUCUUUAAACCGUAGACUGGUCUAGACCUACCCAUAGGACUUACAUGAAAUUAAUCGUACAGAUAUUGCAAGCCUUGCAAUGGUAGAUGCAGAUUAAUAAAUAACCAACAGAGGUGUUUUGAGACUUUUCCUCAAAAUGUUUCUCCUUUCACUGGUCCUCAAAUGACAGAAUGAUCUGUCAAAACCACUCUUUACCCUGUCUUAAAUGAGCUUGGGGUUUUUAUUCUCUCUGGCACACACACACACACACACACACACACACACACACACACACACACACCGUAGUAAGUCACUAAAACAAUCAUUGACCCUUUGAUCAAGGAACCCUUCCAGCAGCGAGACAUCCCAAACUUGUGUUCGGUUUUCUUUUGGCGAGCAGACAGCCGAGGGUCAAACAGAAAGCUCUGCAUUGCGUGAACUGCAAUUGAACGGUAGCUUCCAUCUUAGUGCUCCAUAUGUGUCAAUGGCACAUUCGUGGAGAUUAGAAGAAAACUUGCAGGAGUCUGUUCUCUCCUUCCACAGUAUAAGCCCCAAGGGACUAACCUCAGGAUAUCAAGACUGCAACUCUGUUAUGUUUAACCUGCAAACGCUUUGAAGCUAAAGGUUCAGACUGCUUCAGUGUAACACCUACGUGUGUGAAACCGUGAAGGAUGAUGGGAAAUGAAAUGACACUAAUAUCAUCUCCCUGUAUGAUCUCUACUUACCUAUUAGAAACUCUACUAGUCAAAAAGAAAUACACAUACAUUUCUUACACGUGGGUGAAAUAGUUUGCUUUUUUGGCUGUUUGUUUUUUAGUAGUCAAUAAUUUGUUUGCCACACAGAAAUCCAACAAGUGCUACAUACUAAUCCCUUCUGGAGAAAAAAAAAUCACUUUAUUAUCUUUGAAUUUCCCACAAAUUAAUGUCAGUGAAAUGGAUUCAUACGCAAAGAUCACAAGACAUAUAAGAAAAGAAAUCAGAAGGCGGCAGUGGCUCACGCCUUUAAUCUCAGCACUUGGGAGGCAGGGCCAGGUGAUCUCUGUGAGUCUGAGGCCAGCCUGGUCUACAAAGUGAGAUCCAGGACAGGCACCAAAACUACACAGAGAAACCCUGUCUCGAGCAAAAAAAAAAAAAAAAAAAUCAAAACAAGAUUAGAUUUAUGCUUCAAAAAUGCUAAUUAACAAUGCUCUGUUACAGGAACUAAAAAAAUAAAACCCAAAGAAAAGACCAACUAAAAUGGCUGCGACUCCAGGAGCAUUAGUAAGGGAACAAUAGACCCACUGAAGCUGGGAACUCCCUAAGAACAAUGUGAGUUGGGCGUGAAGAAAAUGUCCAACCUGAGCAUGGGGGUGUGAAGAGGUGAGAAGACCAAGAGAUGCGAAUCACAUGUGGAUAGCUAUUCCCAGUCUCUGAGUGACGGGGAAAGAAUGCAGUGGAGACAGGAGGUGAAGGAAAAAUAGCUGAUGACAUUCUAAGAUGGAUUUAAGACAUAUCUCCAAGGCAGGGAGUUCUGACAUCAUAUAUAAAUCUAUCAAAUGGAACACCUGGAAAGAAAGGAUAAAGUAUACAUUCAUAUAUAUGUGUGUGUGUGUGCACAUUUAUAAGACACAUGAAAGCAAGCCAAUGUGUACUACACCAGAGGGAAAAAUCAUUGAGAAACAACUGAAGGAUUAUUAAUGGCAAUAAUGAGGCUGAAGACAGUGAGAUAUCUUCAAAGUGCUAAGCAAAAAUCACUGACAACCUAGAAUUUCAUGUCCAGAAAAUUAUAUUUUCAGAACAAAGAAUUCAGACAUUUGUGAAUGAGCAAGAGCUAUCUCUUUUUAAAUCUUUCGUAGUUGAGCAUCUGAAGCCCACUUGCCGAGAAAGGAAAGUAAGCCCACAGACAGAGGAAGAGGAUGCUGAGAAAGAAUUGAGCAGAUACAUCAACAAACAUUUGGGUUGAUAUAGAGCUCUAACCUGUAAAGAAUAAAAAUGAAUAGGAUGAAAUACAUUGGGUUUAUAAAGGACAUAAUUGAAAUACUACCCCACAGCAUACAAGUCAAGAGGAGCAGGGACAGAGUUAAACUGUUCUGGUUUCAUUGUUUCAAGAAGGCUAGAUAUUCAUUUUAAAUGUCCUUAAGCAAAAUAUUAAGAGUAUGAUUGCAGCAAAACCUUCCCAUAAGAUCAUUGCAAUAUGAAGUUGAGUAAAUGUAUUCACUUAAACCCUCAAUAAUCUUCUGAAAGUCUCCAUUGGCAACACACACACACACACACACACACACACACACACACACACACACACACACACACAUAAGCUGUAUAGCUGGUACAUGAUGAAGAUGAGAUUUGAACUCAGUUAGCCUAACUCUAUAGAACAGUACAUGACCUCUAUGUUCUUUGUCCCCUAAGAGGGGAAGGGAAGGUGAAAUCGAUAAACACAUUAACAGGGGCUCCUCUGUGGUGAGAAUGCCUUAAGUCCAGGGAUUAAUAUCCCAAAUCAAAAUAAAGUACAAAAAGUAAAGACAAACGAAACUCAUUAAACCAAUAGUCAGUCCUUUACACUAUUCAAAAAGGAAGCUGCAUAUAAAUACAAAAAUAGAAAGCAUAAGAUUGAGAGGAAACCACUCAGACAUGUAAAUAAUCUCAGUACAAAUGCCCUAAACCUUCCAGCUAAAAGGCAAUUAAUGUUAUAAAUUAUGUUUGUAAAUACAUAACUGUACUACUGGCAGUUAAAGACCACAGAACGUGUAGGACACAUCACUUAUCAAGUAAUGAAAUGAAGGUAGGCAAGGCUGCAUUGAUGUGACAAGCUGUGCUGGCUGAUCUUAUACCAACUUGACACAAACUAGAGUUAUCCGGAAGGAAGAAAACUCAUUUGAGGAAAUGCCUCCAUGAGAUCCAGCUGUAAGGCAUUUUCUUAAUUAGUGAUCCAUGGGGAAGCGCCCAGCCCAUUGUGGGUGGUGCCACCCCUGAGCUGGUGGUCCUGGGUUCUGUACGAAAGCAAGCUGAGCAAGCUAUGAGGAGCAAGCCAGUAAGCAGCACCCCUCCAUGGCCUCUGCAUCAGUUCCUGUCCUGUUUGAGUUCCUGCCCUGAUUUCCUUCCAUGAUGGACUAUGAUGUGGAAGUGUAAGCCGAAUAAACCCUUUCCUCUCCAACUUGUUUUUGGUCGUGGUUUUAUGACAGCAAUAGAAACCCUGACUAGGACACAGUCAAUGAACAGAUCAUCGUGGAGAAAGAUAUCCUAAUGUAAUCAUGAAGUCAACAAGAAGC